GAAUGCUGACAUAAGUAACGAUAAAGCGGGUGAAAAGCCCGCUCGCCGGAAGACCAAGGGUUCCUGUCCAACGUUAAUCGGGGCAGGGUGAGUCGACCCCUAAGGCGAGGCCGAAAGGCGUAGUCGAUGGGAAACAGGUUAAUAUUCCUGUACUUGGUGUUACUGCGAAGGGGGGACGGAGAAGGCUAUGUUGGCCGGGCGACGGUUGUCCCGGUUUAAGCGUGUAGGCUGGUUUUCCAGGCAAAUCCGGAAAAUCAAGGCUGAGGCGUGAUGACGAGGCACUACGGUGCUGAAGCAACAAAUGCCCUGCUUCCAGGAAAAGCCUCUAAGCAUCAGGUAACAUCAAAUCGUACCCCAAACCGACACAGGUGGUCAGGUAGAGAAUACCAAGGCGCUUGAGAGAACUCGGGUGAAGGAACUAGGCAAAAUGGUGCCGUAACUUCGGGAGAAGGCACGCUGAUAUGUAGGUGAAGUCCCUCGCGGAUGGAGCUGAAAUCAGUCGAAGAUACCAGCUGGCUGCAACUGUUUAUUAAAAACACAGCACUGUGCAAACACGAAAGUGGACGUAUACGGUGUGACGCCUGCCCGGUGCCGGAAGGUUAAUUGAUGGGGUUAGCGGUAACGCGAAGCUCUUGAUCGAAGCCCCGGUAAACGGCGGCCGUAACUAUAACGGUCCUAAGGUAGCGAAAUUCCUUGUCGGGUAAGUUCCGACCUGCACGAAUGGCGUAAUGAUGGCCAGGCUGUCUCCACCCGAGACUCAGUGAAAUUGAACUCGCUGUGAAGAUGCAGUGUACCCGCGGCAAGACGGAAAGACCCCGUGAACCUUUACUAUAGCUUGACACUGAACAUUGAGCCUUGAUGUGUAGGAUAGGUGGGAGGCUUUGAAGUGUGGACGCCAGUCUGCAUGGAGCCGACCUUGAAAUACCACCCUUUAAUGUUUGAUGUUCUAACGUUGGCCCCUAAUCGGGGUUGCGGACAGUGUCUGGUGGGUAGUUUGACUGGGGCGGUCUCCUCCUAAAGAGUAACGGAGGAGCACGAAGGUUGGCUAAUCCUGGUCGGACAUCAGGAGGUUAGUGCAAUGGCAUAAGCCAGCUUGACUGCGAGCGUGACGGCGCGAGCAGGUGCGAAAGCAGGUCAUAGUGAUCCGGUGGUUCUGAAUGGAAGGGCCAUCGCUCAACGGAUAAAAGGUACUCCGGGGAUAACAGGCUGAUACCGCCCAAGAGUUCAUAUCGACGGCGGUGUUUGGCACCUCGAUGUCGGCUCAUCACAUCCUGGGGCUGAAGUAGGUCCCAAGGGUAUGGCUGUUCGCCAUUUAAAGUGGUACGCGAGCUGGGUUUAGAACGUCGUGAGACAGUUCGGUCCCUAUCUGCCGUGGGCGCUGGAGAACUGAGGGGGGCUGCUCCUAGUACGAGAGGACCGGAGUGGACGCAUCACUGGUGUUCGGGUUGUCAUGCCAAUGGCACUGCCCGGUAGCUAAAUGCGGAAGAGAUAAGUGCUGAAAGCAUCUAAGCACGAAACUUGCCCC
rnacentral:rRNA from 1 species